rnacentral:rRNA from 1 species
GACGAACGCUGGCGGCGUGCUUAACACAUGCAAGUCGAACGGAAAGGCCCUGCUUUUGUGGGGUGCUCGAGUGGCGAACGGGUGAGUAACACGUGAGUAACCUGCCCUUGACUUUGGGAUAACUUCAGGAAACUGGGGCUAAUACCGGAUAGGAGCUCCUGCUGCAUGGUGGGGGUUGGAAAGUUUCGGCGGUUGGGGAUGGACUCGCGGCUUAUCAGCUUGUUGGUGGGGUAGUGGCUUACCAAGGCUUUGACGGGUAGCCGGCCUGAGAGGGUGACCGGCCACAUUGGGACUGAGAUACGGACCAGACUCCUACGGGAGGCAGCAGUGGGGAAUAUUGCACAAUGGGCGGAAGCCUGAUGCAGCAACGCUGCGUGCGGGAUGACGGCCUUCGGGUUGUAAACCGCUUUCGCCUGUGACGAAGCGUGAGUGACGGUAAUGGGUAAAGAAGCACCGGCUAACUACGUG